rnacentral:rRNA from 1 species
AUUGAACGCUGGCGGCAGGCCUAACACAUGCAAGUCGAGCGGUAGAGAGAAGCUUGCUUCUCUUGAGAGCGGCGGACGGGUGAGUAAUGCCUAGGAAUCUGCCUGGUAGUGGGGGAUGACGUUCGGAAACGGACGCUAAUACCGCAUACGUCCUACGGGAGAAAGCAGGGGACCUUCGGGCCUUGCGCUAUCAGAUGAGCCUAGGUCGGAUAAGCUAGUUGGUGGGGUAAUGGCUCACCAAGGCGACGAUCCGUAACUGGUCUGAGAGGAUGAUCGGUCACACUGGAACUGAGACACGGUCCAGACUCCUACGGCAGGCAGCAGUGGGGAAUAUUGGACAAUGGGCGAAAGCCUGAUCCAGCCAUGCCGCGUGUGUGAAGAAGGUCUUCGGAUUGUAAAGCACUUUAAGUUGGGAGGAAGGGCAGUAAAUUAAUACUUUGCUGUUUUGACGUUACCGACAGAAUAAGCACCGGCUAACUCUGUGCCAGCCGCCGUAAGAC